AAAUUGAAGAGUUUGAUCAUGGCUCAGAUUGAACGCUGGCGGCAGGCCUAACACAUGCAAGUCGAGCGGCAGCGGGAAAGUAGCUUGCUACUUUUGCCGGCGAGCGGCGGACGGGUGAGUAAUGCCUGGGGAUCUGCCCAGUCGAGGGGGAUAACAGUUGGAAACGACUGCUAAUACCGCAUACGCCCUACGGGGGAAAGGAGGGGACCUUCGGGCCUUUCGCGAUUGGAUGAACCCAGGUGGG
rnacentral:rRNA from 1 species